rnacentral:RNase_P_RNA from 1 species
GGAGUCGGCCGGGUGAUCGCGAUCCCGAUUUUGUGGCCCUCGAUUUUAUCGGCGCCACUAUGCGGGAUUGAGGAAAGUCCGGGCUCCAUAGGGCAGGGUGCCAGAUAACGUCUGGGCGGCGCGAGCCGACGGAAAGUGCCACAGAAAAUAUACCGCCGUUCGGUAAUAUUUGUUGAUUAUCGUAUUGGUAAGGGUGAAAAGGUGUGGUAAGAGCACACCGCAUUAGCGGUAACGCUAAUGGCAAGGCAAACCCCACUCGGAGCAAGACCAAAUAGGAAUCCAAAGGUGUUGCCCGCACCGGAUUCGGGUAGGUUGCUCGAGGUGCACGGUGACGUGUACCCAAGACGAAUGAUCGCUCUAGACAGAACCCGGCUUACAGGCCGGCUCCCACA